UGGACGGCAAUGUCAAAGGUGAAGCGGAUGUGUCUGCGGGGGAGUUGGCGGUGAAUUUAUUUAUUUGUUUGGAGACACUGCAAAAAGACAAGAGUUGGGCCCAACGAACCCACGUCGCCCAGGCACACCCAUAUGACCUACUGACCCGAUCGUCUUUGGACUAUGGGAGGAAAUCAGAGCACUUGGAGGAAAUCCACACGGUCACAGGCAGAGCGUUGAAACUCCGUACAGACAGCCAUGGGAAUUGAACUCGGGUCACAGGUGAUGCUGGAAAUCUCCGUUCCUGUUCACACUUCUGUCAAUGCCCCAUUUUAAAAAGCUUUCGAUGGAAUCACCGGGGAUUAGUGCAGAUGUCUUUUCCGGUUGUGUUGGUCCCAAGAAUCUCUGGAGGUUUACUGUAUGCUCUGUGCGCUGGAGUUCCCGAGGAGGUGUUUGAUUGUGAACGGAGAGGGUUCAGAAGACAUGAGCAGGCAUCUGCAGAUUCACUCGUGUUGUAUGUAAGAAGUUUGCCCGUUCUUCCCCUGACACCGUGUGUUCCGGUUUCUCCCCGAUUCCAAAGACGCACAGCUUAGUCAGCAAGCUGUGGGCAUGACAUGUUAGCGCCGGAGGCAUGGUGCCGCUUUCCCCCAGACUAUGUUGGUGAAACAAAUCAGAAUGAGCUUUAUUACCCGCAUGUGAGGUGAGAUUUAUUAAUUCAGCAGCAGCAGUUCAAUGCAAUACAUAAUAUAGAAGAAAAAACACAAAAAAAAUAAAACAAAUAAUAAAUAUUAAUUUCACGUCUUAAUGUAAAUGUGACAAAUAAAACUAAUCUUUAUAUGAUAGUUGAGCUGCAUCAUGCUCGGUGGGGCAGUCCAGGUGGACCGAAUUUGUGAACUGGGAACUGUCACUUUUACAAGUGAUUACCAUGAUGCUAUUGCAGCCCGGGAAUUUCCGAGUUUGGAGUUCAGUUCCAACGUCCUCCAUAAGGAGUCUCCACACAUCCUCCAAGUGGAAUGUGUGGGUUUCCUCCCACAGUCCAAAGAGGUACUGGGUAGGUUAAUUUUCACUGUGAACUGUCCUGUGAUCAGGUUUGUGGGUUGGCUGGGGCAGAGUGUCUCAAACAGCAAGAAGGGCCGAGACUGCUCUUUAUCACUGAUUAAGUAAAUAUCACUAUGUUUUCACGUGCGUGUGAUGAAUAACUGUUUUCACGUGCGUGUGAUGAAUACACUGUUUUCACGUGCCUGUGAUGAAUACACUAUGUUUUCACGUGCGUGUGAUGAAUACACUCUAUGUUUUCACGUGCGUGUGAUGAAUACACUAUGUUUUCACGUGUGUGUGAUGAAUAACUG